UAAUCUGGGGUGAGGACAGUGUCUGGUGGGUAGUUUGACUGGGGCGGUCUCCUCCCAAAGAGUAACGGAGGAGCACGAAGGUUAGCUAAUCACGGUCGGACAUCGUGAGGUUAGUGCAAAGGCAUAAGCUAGCUUGACUGCGAGAGUGACGGCUCGAGCAGGUACGAAAGUAGGUCUUAGUGAUCCGGUGGUUCUGAAUGGAAGGGCCAUCGCUCAACGGAUAAAAGGUACUCCGGGGAUAACAGGCUGAUACCGCCCAAGAGUUCAUAUCGACGGCGGUGUUUGGCACCUCGAUGUCGGCUCAUCACAUCCUGGGGCUGAAGUAGGUCCCAAGGGUAUGGCUGUUCGCCAUUUAAAGUGGUACGCGAGCUGGGUUUAGAACGUCGUGAGACAGUUCGGUCCCUAUCUGCCGUGGGCGUUGGAAGAUUGAGAGGGGUUGCUCCUAGUACGAGAGGACCGGAGUGAACGCACCACUGGUGUUCGGGUUGUCAUGCCAAUGGCAUUGCCCGGUAGCUAAGUGCGGAAAAGAUAAGCGCUGAAAGCAUCUAAGCGCGAAACUUGCCUCAA
rnacentral:rRNA from 1 species